rnacentral:rRNA from 1 species
AACGAACGCUGGCGGCAGGCCUAACACAUGCAAGUCGAGCGGACCCUUCGGGGUUAGCGGCGGACGGGUGAGUAACGCGUGGGAAUAUGCCCUUCUCUACGGAAUAGUCCUGGGAAACUGGGGGUAAUACCGUAUACGCCCUUUGGGGGAAAGAUUUAUCGGGGAAGGAUUGGCCCGCGUUGGAUUAGGUAGUUGGUGGGGUAAUGGCCUACCAAGCCGACGAUCCAUAGCUGGUUUGAGAGGAUGAUCAGCCACACUGGGACCGAGACACGGCCCAGACUCCUACGGGAGGCAGCAGUGGGGAAUCUUAGACAAUGGGGGCAACCCUGAUCUAGCCAUGCCGCGUGAGUGAUGAAGGCCUUAGGGUUGUAAAGCUCUUUCAGCUGGGAAGAUAAUGACGGUACCAGCAGAAGAAGCCCCGGCUAACUCCGUG